CUUGCAUUAGCAGGGAGCACAGGAGGCGCUUCAGCAUGUCCCGCCAGGAGAGCCAGGCGUGACGGUAGAUGGGUGUCCACACAUUCCCCGGGUUGACUUCCGUGACCAAGAUGCCUAGGAUUAAUGGGUUGGCUGAAAGCCCUUGAAGUGUACCCUACGGAGAAUCCCAGAAAAAUGGAAGAAUGGAUGACAUCCCAGCAUACAACCAUCAAAAGUGUAAAGCAGAACUGACUGACAUCUGUUGAGAUCUACUGAAAGUUUCAAGCAUAAUUUGCUUUACAGACAGCAACAGAGACAAAGCAGACGAGGUUAAGGAACAAUAAAGGAAGUCAACACGGAAUCCUAUCAGUCUGAGCCCAAGAAGCCAGUGAUCCAGAAGUAGCAGACAGACAGAGGGAAAGAAAACAAAUGGAUAAAUAAACGAAUAUGAGAAAAAAAGGAAGAAAGAGAUAAAGAGAGAGGGUGUGAAGAAUGAAUGAGUGAGAGAAAGAGGAAUAAAAUUAAUGAAGGAAAGGAAGAGAUAUGAUGAGAGAAAGUGAAAAAGAGGAUGGAUGAAGGAAUAAAGUGAUAACAGGAGGAAGCAUGAAGAAACAAAGAGAAGAACGAAAAAGAUAAUUAACCCAUUUGCCCCAUGUGGCGAGCCUCUGUCUGCCCAUGUCAACAAAACGUGGAAUAGCAAUGCUCCAGGGACCACAGACUUUAGGUGGAGAAGGAGGGAGAAUGUACCCAGAAAGUAAAACUUUUCAGGUACACCUGGUAUCAAGGUUGACCUGGACAAGGAUUCGAUGCCACUGGCAGUGUACAGAGUUCAUUACCAACAAGUUAAUUGACCUCAUAGUGGAAGAGACGAAUAGGUAUGUAGAGUUGAUUCGCAUAGCUUUUCUUUAAUAUACAUUACUGCUAUAUCCAGAUACCCGAACGAGACGGCACAGAGCCGCGGACGGCGAUGGCACCCGAUCACGAGUGCUGAGCUUCACGUCUACCUUGACCUCCGGAUGCUGAUGGGGAUCAACAAGAAACCUCGGCUAGCCUUUUACUGGUUGAGGAAUCCAGGGGUGGCCAUGCCAAUUUUCCCCUUGACCAUGCCUCAUGAGGUUCGAACAGAUUUCCUGCAACCUCCACUUCCAGAACAAUGAGAGGGAAUCUGAAGAGGAUGAUUGGCUGUGGAAGCUGAGGGAAGUGCUGACCAUUUUUGGGGAUCGCUUCAGGAAAGUCUUCAUCCCUGAUCAAUUCAUAUCCAUCGACGAGUCCCUUUGGAAAUUUAGGGGACGCCUAAGUUUCCGCACUUAUGACCUAAGCAAGCAAGCCAGAUUUGGGGUAAAGGUGUACAAACUUUCCUGUGUGCAGGGUAUAUGGCCGUGUUCAAGAUCUAUACAGGCAGGGAGCAGGGGCUCUACUGUCCUCUCAGAAAGUGGUGGUGGACUUGAUGGAGGCGGGUGAAUUCUUUUGGAAAGGGUACAAGGUGUAUGUUGACAACUGGUACACCUGUCCAGUGCUCUUUCAUUUUUUACAGUCUAGGAAAACUAGUGCAGUGGGGACUGUGUGCCUGAACCGCCACCACAUGCCUCGUGAUUUGAAGAUCCGGAAGCGGGGGGACGUGGACUCCCGGAGUUCUCCAACAGGCAUGUUGGCGCAAUCCUGGAUGGACGUGAAACAGGUGAACAUGUUGUCAACAGUCCACACGUCACACAUGGUUCAGGUUCAGCGCCGUGGAGGUCUGCUGGUCGCGAAGCCAGAGUGCGUCGUUGCCUACAACGAUGUAUAAAGGGAGUUGGCUAGGGGGACCAGUACGUACAAUCAUACCCUUCAGUGCGCAGGGCACUGAAGUGUUACAAAUCGAUUUUUUUUUCUAUUUAUGACUUAGCCACUAUGAACAACCAUGCAGUUUACAAGUAUUUGGGCAACAGGACAGAGCAGAUUGACUUUCGACUGGACCUCGCCAUAUCAUUUAUCAACAAUUUUGUACCAGACCUUCAGCCCUACAGUGCUCGAGGGCGCCCGUCAACGUUGCCUUCUUCCAGAUUUCAGGGCAGGACUCAACACAUUGUGAGGGAGAUGCCUGGAGGGAAAUACAGGAGGUGUUUCCUCUGCUACAGGGCUGGAAGGAGGAAGAGGACGCGGACUGUAUGUCCGGCAUGUGAGCUUUCGUUAUGCACCUACGGGUGCUUCGAGAGGUAUCACUCGCAAAAAGAGUUGGCAUAAGGAAAAAAAAUAAUAAAAAUGGUGAUGGGUACAAUCCUGUUUCUUGUUCUCCUUUUUGUAAUUGAAAAAGGCAGCUAAGUCCACAUUCUGACCUCCUAUAUAUAU